AGCAGGCGCGUAAAUUACCCAAUCCUAAUGCAGGGAGGUAGUGACAAUAAAUACUGACGCUGGACUCUACGAGUCUGGUAAAGAAUGAGAACAGUUUAAAACCCUUAUCGAGGACCCAUUGGAGGGCAAGUCUGGUGCCAGCAGCCGCGGUAAUUCCAGCUCCAAUAGCGUAUAUUAAAGUUGUUGCAGUUAAAAAGCUCGUAGUUGAAUUUCGGAUCGCCACUCCCGCCACUUCAUUGUGGCGAUGUGGAGUUCCUCCUCGCCUUUGGCGUCAUUUACUGUGAAAAAAUUAGAGUGUUCAAAGCAGGCAAUCGCUUGAAUACAUUAGCAUGGAAUAAUAAGAUAGGAUCUUCGUCUAUUUUGUUGGUUGCGGACUGAGAUAAUGAUUAAUAGGGAUAGUUGGGGGUGUCUGUAUUGUGUUGUCAGAGGUGAAAUUCUUAGAUUUACACAAGACAAACUACUGCGAAAGCAUUCACCAAGGAUGUUUUCAUUAAUCAAGAACGAAAGUCAGGGGAUCGAAGAGGAUUAGAUACCCUCGUAGUCUUGACCAUAAACUAUGCCGACUCGGGAUUGGCAGACGAUUGUUUCGACUCUGUCAGCACCGUAUGAAAAAUCAAAGUCUUUGGGUUCCGGGGGGAGUAUGGUCGCAAGGCUGAAACUUAAAGGAAUUGACGGAAGGGCACCACCAGGAGUGGAGCCUGCGGCUUAAUUUGACUCAACACGG
rnacentral:rRNA from 1 species